rnacentral:lncRNA from 12 species
GUAAGAGUAAACAAAACAAUUCCAAGCCAACAUGUCCAGGUUGAAAAAGGGGAUAUUUACUGGCUGCGAGCAAACACACACACACACACACUGACACACACAUCUCUCUCCCAGUGAAAAAUAAAAGUCGUUCUGUAAGUCUUUUGUUCCUUCAGACUAGCACACACAUUUAUAGUCAUGGCUGAGAGGAGACGGCACCAGUGGCCCCUCUUCACACUGUGAGAGAAGGAGACAUGGAAGGAAAGCUGGGAUCGUCACAGUGCUAUUGCCUCUUGAAGUCAAAUUGUGUCGUACUCUUCAGAGCCGUGUGACGCAGAGUUUAUUAUGGAGGACUUGAAGCCCGAGGGCUGGCGGCAGCUACUUCAGCCCCAUGGUGCAGCUGGCAAAAACAGCACAAGUCUCCUUCGCAGGUCCUCAUCAUGGAGGAGGCCUGGGGAGCGGGGUUAUUACGAGGGCCCCGCGGCGCAGGUGAAUGAGCCCCCUCGCAGAGCUCGUCCACUGAGCUGCAUAGAGGGUGGCAGGAUGGACAAAUGGCUUCAGACACUAGAGAGACUCCAAUCACGUCGGCUUCAGAAUCAAAUACCUCAGUUUGUGGACAGGACGAUAUCAAUGCCAGUUCUCUCGAAUGAGACAGCGGGAAGUAACCCACUGUGUCCUGAUGUUUCCUCUCUGCGCAGGAGGAAUCAGACCCCUAGCGUCUGUCCCAGAGUGAGUGAAAGCUCCUCGAGCAGUCUGGAGUCUGUUCACAUUAAAGCUGCUCCCGCUGCAGAAAGAGCUCAGUUCUGCGCUCUCGCUCCAGUUCACUUCGGCUGGCUGCCCAUACAAAGACAUGUGAUACUGACAGACAUCUCUCAUAACCACCAUGACAACAGUAGGUGCCAGCAGAAACUGAAGUCUCCCAUCACUCCAGUGUUGCUCAGCACUCCUGCCAAACUUAAUGGACCAAGACCAAAUGACAGGGAGACUUCGAGGCCUGAACCUGUAGGCUUUAGAUACUGGAAAACACCUGAAAAAACACCAUCCGUCCUCCAUCAGGCUUCAGGAUCCGUGAGCUCUGAGGGAGGACGAAAUGGACCACAAGCCUGGAAUCCGAAAGCCGAGAUAGACACAUGCCACGCUGGACCACAUCCCAUGUUGAGAAAUCCCACAUGCAGGCGUGGAAGUGCGCCGGAGUCCUUCAGCUCCUCGAUAUCGUCCAUCACUAUCACUUCCAGGAAGGUCACGCACACAAACUCCAGGCCUCUGAGUCCAGCGAUGAAUAGCCUUGCCGAUGGCCACAGAAAAGCUUUAGUGGUCAAAGUCACUGAACAGAGGACGAAAAGCACUUCCAGUCUGCCCAUCGCCUCGACCUCUGGCUCUGAUCAUGAAGAGAUGGACCAUGGUGUGGUCCUGAGAAGAAAGGCAACCAUUGUGAAAAUGACCGAACAGAGAGAGCGUUUCAGUCCAGUGAAAUACAGACACAGCUACACUGAAGGACUCCAUAAUGAAUCUAAAGUCAGUCCCUCACCAUUAAACCAGCCGUUAACUAUAUCUCUAGAGCCAGGAGGAAACCAGUGGAGGUCCCAGCACAGAUCUAGCCUAUCUCUCUACCUCAACAACCCAAACGAUAGCGGCGCAGUAGGGGAGAGCAACACCAAAACACACAAGCCACCUCGAAGGCCUCUCAGCUGCGACGCAAGCCUGUUUAACUACACAGAACUUGGCAGUAAUGCAGUUACACAGCCAGCGUUUCACAACAAGAGCUCUCCUGUUCCCCAGAAGACAAAUAUUGACCUUGUUAGUUCCAGCAGCAGCGAAGCAAGAAGGCGCUGGGCCUCCGGUGGCGAGGAUGGGAGCAAGAGGAAAGAGUGGAAUCGUGAGGAACCUAUUUCAGGAAUCAAUCCUCUCACACUACUAAAAGCAGCAGAUAACUCGGCUGAUCUGAGCGCAGACGCCGUCCUGGCCCUGAACGCCGCUGCGGUUAUUGCCAACAUAAAGCUGCAGGCCCAGCAGAGACGAACUACAUCCCACACAGCAACAGCAGUGUGUUUAACAAAGGAUAGAGGGCAAAAUGAACACAGAGAGCUCAAAGAAGAGGCUGCUGGUGCUGAUGGAAGGAACAAAACAUGUCCAGCAGAUCAAUGUGUGGAUUUUGUCCCAUUCGAGUCCCAAAAUGACCUUUCUGAAACUGCUUUGGCUCCACUGUCACUUAGUGAGGCUUUAGUGAUCAGACGGCCCGAUUUCAUCCAGCGCUCACAGGCCAGGGUUCGAGCGCUCGAGAGGAGGUCGCAGGAGAGGCAGAACUCCCACAGCUCACCGCAGACAGUCGAGAGCGGAGGAAGCCUUGUGAAAUCCAAAGACAGAAGCAUCAUAGGAAAGAGUCUACAGCUGCGGUCCAGGAGGAGUUAUAACCAGCUGCCUGAGGUGAAGAAGAGGAGAGAGGAAGAAAAGAGGAGAAUAGAAGAGGAGAAAAGAAAACUGGCAUCUCGGACCAACAGGCUGCGGGCAGAGCUCUUUAAAAAGAAACUUCUGGAGCAGAUUUUGCAGAGGGGAGGAAAUCACUGACAUCGCCUUGGACUCGUGUUUCUCCUCACUCCACAGUUCUCAUGCCGGCCCUUGAAAAAUAUGACAUGACAUUAGUUAGAAAUGUUAUGGAAUAGUUCCUUCCAGAACGAGUGUGCCUCAAACAUGGACUGCAGCCUCAUUUCUGUGGCUCUGGAUUACAUCUUCUCUCUCUUUACAUACAUUACUGGUUAAACAUUUUGAAUAAUUAUGGUUUUAAUGUUACAGCUAGGCUUAUGUUCAGCUAUGCUGCAUUUAUUUGCUCAAAAAUACAGUAAAAACUGUAACAAAUUUGAAAUAUUAUCACAAUUUAAAACAACUGUUUCCCAUUUGAAUAUAUUUUAUCAUGUAAUUUAUUCCUGUGAUGCGGAGCUGUAUUUUCAGCAUCAUUACUCCAGUCUUCAGUGUCACAUGAUCUUCAGAAAUCAUUCUAAUAUUCUGAUUUGCUGCUCAAGAAAAAUGUAUGAUUAUUAUCCAUGUUGAAAACAGUGUUUGCUGCUUCAUAUUUUAUAAAAACGUUGCCUUUUUCAGUCCUACAGAUUCUCAACAGUAUCACAUGGCAAACACAGGACAUCAGGAGAGUCUUUUGGCUUCUCAGAGAUGCUACAGUUGCCAUAUAGACAGACUGUUUGCCCUUUCUGUGCCUCUAUCCCUGUCAUAUUAUAUUAUGUAAGAGACACAACAUAAAAGAGCACAUUACGGCUCCGGUCCUCAUCGCUAAUAGCCUAAAAUCCAACAUUUGAAGACAUUCUUAUAACAUGAAGGGCCUGAUCCCGCUCUCAUGCAGUCGUAGGUUCUGCGGGCUCAUUAUGACAUCACUAGCCUUCCUCUGUCCGUGUCUCUCCGAGCCAUUAGCCGGGAGCAAAAGGAAUUUGACCUCGUCUGAAUAAGAAUGCAUCACUAAUGGAGCCGAGUGCUUGCGCGGGGUGAAAGAGGCUUUUGUCCUCUCUCUGAAUGAGCCGAGACUGUCCCACAUGUGCCUGCUUAGACGGGACACGACUGCACAAUAGUCGAGUUAUAAACUGAAGCCUUGCAGUAAAACUUGACUUGAUAGACUUUAUAUUAUGUCCUAUCACUUUGUUUGGUAUCUUAACUAUCACAUUUCAAAAUCAAAAGAUUGGGCCAGAAGAUGUGAAGUGGAGUAAUGUAGCUUCCUUUGUGUGUAAGAUGAUGCAUUUUAGACCAGACAUUACACAAGUACAGAAAUGUAAGUGCAAAUGCUCAGCCUUUGGACAAAUUAUCCCUGUAAGUCCCUAUAAGGAAAGUCAUUUCACUAUUAGUGUAACACUAUUUUUGACGUGCAAGUAACAGCUUUUAUUUCUUUGAAUGGGGAAACAUCAAAUUCGUCUAAGCAAUGCAGCAAUAAAAUUGUCUGUUUAUGUCAUAUUUGCAUUUACAGGUUACUCAAGGGUGCGCUAGAAUUUUAGAAGAUGUUAUUCAGGUAAAUAGGCAUAAAUAUGACAUGUUUUAUGCCUGAGAUUCACAAACUUUUUUUUUCUUAACUGAAUCUGUUUAAUCAAAAACAUUAGAAAUAGUAAAUCUUUAAUUGCUUGAAGUCCUUGAUAUUUUAAUAAUUUAACAACCCAGUUCUCUAAUGACAGACAGUUAUGGAACUAAACAAAUAGCCUACAAUAUUUAAUCUUUUAUUGUAUCUGUUUUAUUUUGUUUGUUUUUUAUUAUUUAUUAUGUUUUAUUAAUUUACAUUUUAAUUAACAAUAACUAUUAACUUUUCAUAAACUCAAAGAUCCCUGCAUUUUGGGAAACCCCUUUUAACUUGACACACCAUCUUAGAAAGCAAACAUUUGUGCCAAUGUUAUUUUACAGUUUCUACUAUAAUAUUCUGAAUUAGUUUUUAUUGUGAAAUUUCUGUUUACAAUUUAAUUUUAGGUAAAGUUUUUGUAAUUUUUACUGUGUUUUUGACAUUAUUUUUUAAUACGACUAUUUUUAUUUAUUUAUUUAUACGACAGUUUUAGUUAUUUAAACCAAAUAAAAGAAUUAUAUAUAUAUUUUUUUUCAUUAAAAUGAUUCACAGGUUAAAUAUGCAUUCCCUAGUACAUAAGAUGCAAUGCAGUGGCCAAAAGAAAUCCAUCUGAUGUAUAGGUAGAAAACAUUGCAGACAAAACGCAAGAACGUUUCCUGCUUGAACAGCCCCCAAGAGUUUCCAUUUAUAUGCCAGUGUUGACAUUUCAGUUUUGUGCUUCAAAAAAUAAAAAAACGCAUGUUUUAUGCCUUCUUAUAUUCCUGUUAAACCUUUAGCACAAAUCUCAGAGCAGAUUUUGUCUUCGAGGCCAACUACUUUUAGUCUUUUCCUAAUGUCUUGCCGAAUAUUGAUGUGUUUUUGCAGCAGGGCUUUUCUCAGUAUUCUGGGCUUUUAGUUUGAUGCUAAUAAAAAUGACAGAAUCCUAAAAGCACAGUCCUAAAUAACAGGAAAUCAAAUACAUUUCGGCUAGAUGGAUGGAUGAAUAUUGCUCUUGAGAAACUUCUUCUGGCCUCGGAUGAAGAGCCAUGAUGAAUCAUAGCAGGAUGUUGAUUACUACAGCAAAAAUACUGACCUAGAAUCAGAGCGAACCGCAUAAACCCAUAAAUCGCCUUUUCUCUGAGAAUAAAUGUGGUUCCUUAGAUACAAGAGGGUUUUACAAACUUUUAAAAAUGACAUGCUGAAUGAGCAAUAGGAUCUUUCAAAGGCAUUCGUGAAACUAGAAACCCUGUUGUCUGGGAUUGUAAAGUCUGAUGGACCCGAUCACCCCUGCUGAGGUCCCUACCUGGAGAUAUGUGAACCAGACCCCUUCUUCGAUAGCAGAACUGAAGGAUUACUUCAUCAGGUGAAAUAGAGACACCGCAGGUAAUCGAUCAUAAAGCAUUUCUUGUUUUUUUCCCCACUGCAGUGAAUGGACGGCACAGGUGAAAGCGUGCAGAGAAGUUUAUUGGACAUGUAUAUGGUGAACACUGACCCUUCUUUAUCACAGGAGCUCGUCUGGAGUCUGUUUCACACCUGAAAACAGCUGGUACAUUGACCCCGGGAUGGGACGGGACAAUCCCAGAACCUCUGAAUUACGUCAACAAAGAACUCGGGGCCCAUGAGGGCCAUUCUAGCAAAUGGGUCCUUNAUAUGCAGCAUUUUUCAUUUUCAUUUAGUUUAACUUCAUAACUAAAACAAAAACUGAAGAAAAAUUUAAAACCACAUGGACAUAUUAAAAAACUAAUAAAAAUGACAAAAACACAAAAUAAUAAUAACUAAUAAAAAUUAUGAAAAAAUGCUAAAACUAAAAAUAAUUAAAAAAAAUUACAAAAAAACGAAUAUUAUUUAAAUUAUAUAAAUCAUAUUUUUGAUAAUUAUUUAUUCAUUUAAUUUUUUAAAAAUUACUGCAAUUUAUUAAAAUUAUAUUGAUAAUUAUAGCAAUUGAAUUUGUCUUAUAGAAUGUUUUCUUUCAACUGUGAAGAAAUUUAAAUCCUUAUAAGUCACCUUUUUGAAAUGUGAAAUGCUCCUGUUUCAGAGUGCCCCAUGAACAAUUCAUGAAAAUAAUCCUGGUGGACAGUGAAAUACAUGAAGUAAUAUCCUUAUUCUGACUUAUUGUUUCACUCUGACUCUCAUUCAUGCAUAAAUACUUAAUUUAAUCAUUCUUUAAAGCCAAUCGCUGUCUAAAUGGAGGUUGGAUGUUAAAGUCUGUUUCUUUUCUCCAGCUAUGGGACGAUCUUUGAGACGAAGACGUGUUUCAAAUGGAUUUCUGCUGUCUCUUAAAGUUGGAUCCAUUCCUGUCUGCUCUUUUGAAAUCGGGGCAAUGCAAGAACAGAAUGAUGAAAUCACAGUAUUCUGCUCUUUCGAAAUGAGGUUGCAUUCAUGUAGCUACAAACCAAACGCUGUUGAUGUUGUUAUUGUGCUCGGAUCUCUCCUGCGUGUGCAGUCUGAGCUUCCUUUCGUGUUCUUUAUUUGUUUCGGCUUUUAAAUAAUGCACAGGUUCAUCAUGGAUGUGUGGUGAUUUCACACCUGCAUUAUUGCUCUUGUGCUGCAGUAAAUCUCAGUGCACUAGUAUUGCCCCAGCAUGCAACUCUAACUGUGGUUUAAACAGAGCAGACCAUCUGCAUUAUUAAUUUACUUCUUUACUGAUAUCAUGAGAGGUCACAAGAGGUCAACCACAAGAUUUAAAUUAAGUAACCACAAAACAGUCUUUGAAAUCAUUUGGCUCAAUGCAUUUCUGAUAUCUAACAAUUGAUAUAUUUUCUGAUAUUCUAAUCAUGGGUUUAGACAGCAUAAUGACCAUUUCAAUUAAUUAUCAGCUUUUAAUGAAAAUGAUUACCACUGGAUCGAACUGAUCAAUAUGUGGUUUGUUGGCCUUUCAACUCACUCUUUAAAAGUCUUUUCCAUAGAAGAUAAUAAUGUUUACCAGAGUCAUAAAUCUCACCACAUACUUUUAUGCCAAAUAAUGCAUAUUAUAAUAGAAAUGUUAUGGAACACAAAUUCAUAUUCUGUCUAAAUGUAUGCUACUUAAAGUAAUGAAUGAAUGAUUGAAUUUAUUUUAUAAAUUAAAAUACAUUUUAUAUUUAUUUAUUUCAUUUAUUUAUUUACUUAAACAUUCCGAGUUUUUAAAAAAGCUUUUCUUCUCAGAGCAACACUUUGGAAAUGGUCAUACCUUUUUUUCCCAUCAAGAUAACCUUGAACUUUAAUGAACAUUGCUGUAAACUGUUACCGUCGUGUCUGGUCUUUUCUUAUUCAAAAUCAGAGGCGUCCACACAGCGGCUCGCUCGCGCGCGCGCACACACACACACACACACACACGCGCGCGCGCGCUUGAGUUCAUAUGGCUCGUGCGCUCAUGGAAAGCUGAUGUGUAGCGCGCUCUGAGAGUCUCACAUUUCAGGAAGUGUCGGAAGUCCUCAGCUGCUGUCCGUCUGUCCUGCUCUAUAUUAUGGUCGCGCAGCCGUGAUCCGCGUGGAUCGUCGGUG